rnacentral:rRNA from 1 species
CCUACGGGAGGCAGCAGUGAGGAAUAUUGGUCAAUGGGCGCGAGCCUGAACCAGCCAAGUCGCGUGAGGGAAGACGGCCCUACGGGUUGUAAACCUCUUUUUCCGGGGAGCAACGGGCGCCACGUGUGGCGCCACUGCGAGUACCCGGAGAAAAAGCAUCGGCUACCUCCGUGCCAGCAGCCGCGGUAAUACGGAGGAUGCGAGCGUUAUCCGGAUUUAUUGGGUUUAAAGGGUGCGUAGGCGGAGCGUUAAGUCAGUGGGCAAAGUGAGGGGCUAAACCCCGUACCGCCAUUGAAACUGGCGCUCUUGAGUGGAAGAGAGGUAUGCGGAAUGCGUGGUGUAGCGGUGAAAUGCAUAGAUAUCACGCAGAACCCCGAUUGCGAAGGCAGCAUGCCGGCUUCCGACUGACGCUGAAGCACGAAAGCGUGGGGAUCGAACAGGAUUAGAUACCCGUGUAGUC